AUACGUAGGUGACAAGCGUUAUCCGGAUUUACUGGGCGUAAAGGGCGUGUAGGCGGUCUUGCAAGUCAGAAGUGAAAUUCCUGAGCUCAACUCGGGCGCUGCUUCUGAAACUGCAGGACUUGAGUGCUGGAGGGGAUAGCGGAAUUCCUAGUGGAGCGGUAAAAUGCGCAGAUAUUAGGAAGAACACCGGUGGCGAAGGCGGCUAUCUGGACAGUAACUGACACGGAGGCGCAAAAGCGUGGAGAGCAAACAGGAUUAGAUUCCCUGGUAGUCCACGCCGUAAACGAUGAAUACUAGGUGUAGGGGGUAUCGACUCCCUCUGUGCCGCAGUUAACACAAUAAGUAUUCCGCCUGGGGAGUACGGUCGCAAGGUUGAAACUCAAAGGAAUUGACGGGU
rnacentral:rRNA from 1 species